GUGGACUCAUAAAAUCUCAGCUAGGAGAUGAGGACCCACCUCAGGGCCAUGGGCUUGGCUUGCUAGGUCACGGAAGACAAGGAGUCUAAAGAAGUUUCUACCCAUUACCUCAUUUUCAAGCCAAUUUUGGAGAGAAUUAAAACUAAAUGAUAUUGUUAACCCCUUUAAAGUAUA